GCGGAGCCAGGAAAAUUAUCCAGUGCGGGCAAAAAAAUUAAUUAAGGUUGGAUUUUGGAUUUUCGGGAUCUAAGAUGAACUUUAAAUUUGGAUCCUAGUAUUAUUGCAUGCAAUAUGCAUUCAGUUUUUCUUAUCUAAUUUGUAACUCAAAGAAUAAAACAAUAAACAAAAUGAAAUAUUCAAUUUCAAAUAAAGUUCGACCAUGGAUUUAAUGAUGGUUAAAUUACCAAAAAUAACUUAGUUUUUAAGUUACAUUUGUUCCUUGCAUAUUCAUCACCAUUGUUGAUGGAUAACAGUAUUUCUAUUAAUUCAUAACACAAACUUUAUUCAAUUUUUAAUUGUCUAAAAUUUUAGACGAUAUUAUUUAGCUCCAUGCCAACUUGACACGAUAAUGUAAAGCGAAACAAGCAUGUUAUGACAAAACUAGCUAGCAGUAAUUGCAUUUAGGUAUUGUAAUUCUUGAGCAUUUUGUACCUAGCCAAUCAACUUAAAGUGACGAUAGCAAUAUUAGAUCCAUAAGAACAUAAUAAUUAAUGACCAGCUUUAUUUUCAAAAUGUAAAAUAAAAUAUAGGGCCAGUUGAGAAAAAAACUUAACAAAAGAAAUGCCACUCAGAGAAGUAGGACAUCCAAAAUCCAAAUCAGAUGGGACCUCCCAGGUCAGGAACAUUUAUGCUUCUUGUACUACACUACAUCUAGUGCACAAUCCUAUGAACACGUGCAUUGGGCUCCAAGUCCUUCAGUUUGCUUUCCUUUUGUCCUUCAGCCUCCAACCAUUCAUGUUUUGUCCAAUUUUGCUGCUCAUAGACGGUUGGAACUUCCUACUCCCCA
rnacentral:lncRNA from 1 species